AACCGACCUGGCUCACACCGGUUUAAACUCAGAUCAUGUAAAAUUUUAAAGGUCGAACAGACCCAAUAUAUUAGCUUCUUCACCAAUAAUUAAUUUUAAUCCAACAUCGAGGUCGCAAACUUUUUUUUCGAUAAGAACUCUAAAAAAAAUUACGCUGUUAUCCCUAAGGUAAUUUAUUCUUUUAAUCUAAAAAAUUAGGAUCACCAACUCACACAUUAAUGUAUUAAUACAUAAAAAGUUUAUUAAAUUUUUUUGUCACCCCAACCAAACACCUAUUAAAAACCCUAAUCAAUCAUUAAACACCUUAAUUUAUAGUUCCUAACACAUAUAAAACUCUAUAGGGUCUUCUCGUCUUCUAUAAAUAUUUAAGCUUUCUCACUUAAAAAUAAAAUUCAACUAAAUUUUUCCAGAGACAGAAAUCUUUUCAUCAAACCUUUCAUACAAGCUCUCAAUUAAAAAACUAAUGAUUAUGCUACCUUUGCACAGUCAAAAUACUGCGGCCAUUAAAUAUCAUCAUUGGGCAGGCCCGACCUGA
rnacentral:rRNA from 1 species